rnacentral:rRNA from 1 species
UACGUAGGGUGCGAGCGUUAAUCGGAAUUACUGGGCGUAAAGCGUGCGCAGGCGGCGCGUUAAGACAGGUGUGAAAGCCCCGAGCUUAACUUGGGAAUUGCGCUUGUGACUGGCGUGCUGGAGUGUGGCAGAGGGAGGUGGAAUUCCACGUGUAGCAGUGAAAUGCGUAGAGAUGUGGAGGAACACCGAUGGUGAAGGCGGCUUCCUGGCCUGUAACUGACGCUGAGACGCGAAAGCGUGGGGAGCGAACCGG